GAUCACUACUUUGACAUGUAGCGCUACUAAACAUGGGCCAUGGCUCCUCAAAAAGAGCAAAAGUACCGACGUAUCUAAUUAUAACACGUAUCGGUAAGUGUCUUAUGAACGCGUCCUAGGGAGACAAAAUGUUAGGUUAUGAUAUUGCGGUGAGGCAAAGCACCGCCAAAUUUGUGGAUGCCAAUUAUUAGCAAGUGCUUCCAUCCACGGUAAUUCACCGCGCUUCCACCAUUCUUCGUUCAGGAUUUAUUCAAAGGUUCAGGAAUCCACCACCAGCUUAAGUGUGUGUCAACGGUAGGUACGGUUCAGUCAUGGAGAGGAGCUACAAAGGGAUCCCUUUUCAAAGACACAUGCUCCGGUG